rnacentral:rRNA from 1 species
GACGAACGCUGGCGGCGUGCCUAAUACAUGCAAGUUGAGCGCUGAAGGUUGGUACUUGUCCCGACUGGCUGAGCAGCGAACGGGUGAGUAACGCGUGGGGAAUCUGCCUUUGAGCGGGGGACAACAUUUGGAAACGAAUGCUAAUACCGCAUAAAAACUUUAAACACAAGUUUUAAGUUUGAAAGAUGCAAUUGCAUCACUCAAAGAUGAUCCCGCGUUGUAUUAGCUAGUUGGUGAGGUAAAGGCUCACCAGGGCGAUGAUACAUAGCCGACCUGAGAGGGUGAUCGGCCACAUUGGGACUGAGACACGGCCCAAACUCCUACGGGAGGCAGCAGUAGGGAAUCUUCGGCAAUGGACGAAAGUCUGACCGAGCAACGCCGCGUGAGUGAAGAAGGGUUUCGGAUCGUAAAACUCUGUUGGUAGAGAAGAACGUUGGUGAGAGUGGAAAGCUCAUCAAGUGACGGUAACUACCCAGAAAGGGACGGCUAACUACGUG